GCAAAGCUCAGUCAGUACAGUAUGAGACUCUUAAUUUCAAGGUCGUGGGUUCAAGCCCCACUGGGCU